AUCACUGAACCCUAGCCCGCUCCUCCCGCAUCCAACCUCCCGCCGUCCUCCCCCAACGCAUCUUCACACCGCCAGCCCCCCGGCGGCCCGGCCUCGUCCUCGACCGCACGGACGACGGCGACGGCCAUCUCCUCUCGUGUACAUGGAGGCAGCCGUCCCAUCCCUUCUUCCCCUGCUGUUCACCAAGCCCCCAUCUCCCCACCUCCCGUCUCCGGAACCACCUCUCAUGUGUGUCACCCUCUUCGUCGCCGUCGUGCAGUGAUCCUUCAGUUCUUGCCGCGGGCUGGUGGUAGGGUUGCGCUCCAGUGCCCGGAUGUCGAGCACGUCGCCGUCAACGACCUGUUCAUCACCACCGACGACAUGACAUACAUGUUCAAGUAUGACUCUGUUCACAUACAAUGGAAGCACCAUACGGUUAAGGUCAAGGACUCUCAAGACCCUUCUAUUCAGCAAGAAAAAGGCUACUUUGUUUGGCUGCAGGUUUGAGCUAGUGAGCUCCCUAACGACUUCUCACUAGUAGUAAUAUGCAGCGACAUGCAAACUGGUUGUACAUUGAGUUGUGAGUACAUUAUCACCUGAACAGCUUCUUGCUUGGUCUGAUAUAGUGGUGUUCAUGACUAUUUUUCAGGACCACACGUUGAUAUAUAUUGUUGAUGGUGGAUGGUUUAGUUAACGAGAAUUGUAUUGUUGUUUGGUGUAGGAUAUGUUGUCCUUGGACAUUUAAUACCUUGGAGACUUACAGCAUGUUUUUCUCUAGUAGUAGUGAUAUGGAGUCAAGUCAGCAUGCUAUGAAAGUCAUCAUCUGCUUAUAUGUAAUAUUUCUGAAUUUGACUGCAUUUGUGAAUGUACAAUCAUUGAGUUAUUCCUAAUCCUAUGGGGAUGAAUGCAUGUCUUCCUUGGAACAAGUAUUAAUUGCUAUGCAUAACUGUUAGUGCUCAUGGUAACGUGUGUUAUUGCUGUGAUAGCUAGUUUAAAUAGACAGUUUUCUUGAAUGCCAAGUAUUAUACCUAUCAUUCUUUGCUGUUUUAUGCGAACAUUAUGGUUUAAUAGCUUAGUAUAAGGUUCUGGUGUACUUACUGUUCAUGGCGUUUUGCAUGGUAGUUGUGGUUAGCUUGCAUAUUGUUCUACUCUUUUCUACAUAAUCUGCGCAUUUGUCUUAAUUUGCAGUAUUUUGACCCAAUGGUCAAUGUUAGGCAACCUUCUGCGUUAGCCAUAAGCCAACUCAAGUAAUGUUCUUCCUUUCAUCUAUAUAUGAUACUCAUGUAUCCUUAUAGCAUUUUUUUUUCUUGCUUGUUGUUAUUUCUUUUCUGUAGAAUACAUAUGGGCUAUUAUCAAUGUUGCACAUUUCAUUCUUAAGCCAUGUAUUCAUAUGAACAUUGGAAAUGUAAACAAAAUUAGAAGUCAUAAAAUUCCUCUAUCUUGGUUUUGGUAGCUGUAGAUUUUAUGUAGGAGAUCGAGUGUCACAUCUGUGUAAUAUGUGAGUUAUCCUUACUCAUACUGGAAGCUCUUGCUGUAUCAGUGCAGCCUUGAAUCGCAUAUUGGAAAUUUUCUAUCUAUUUUUGAAGCUUGCAUGCAUUAUGAAGCUUUUUAUCUAUUUAUCUUGCUGUAAUCUGUAAUGUAGCAAUGCUCUGAAGUAAUAAAUCCAAUUUAACAUUGUAAAAGCAGUACUAGCUAUUCCUGAAUCGAUCCUUAUUUUGUGUUGCGCCAAUCCAUAUUGUUGCAAUCUGGGUUAGCUUGAUGAGUAAAAGCACUAGGUUAGCUUGAUUACUAUUUCCUUCACUGUUCUAUCUCAAGUGCAUGAUGCAGCCUGCACUACUUGAUAUAGUUUGUUUGGUCAGAGACCUGGACCUGCACUUGUUGGAGGAAUAUAUUUUGCUUGUGUAUUUUACAGUUUCUCUGAUCAUGAGGUUUAUAAAUCUAACCAACUUCUAUUAUCAUGUAUUUGAGUUAUCAUUUUCAAGAUCGACAGUGUUUUGAAUAAAUGGGCAUUGCUGGUUAUAACCUCCCAGUUUCAUUUCUUUCUUGAGGCAACUAGUGCUCAUUUGUAUUAGUGAAGACAUCUGUUGUGAUCAUUGACAUCAUGGUGUAAUUAUUUCAUUCUAAUAUUUAUGUAUCCCUUAUUUCCAUGGGUUUGACCAGCAGCAACAUCCUAUGCUUACUUACUCUUACCUCUCUUGUUUGUUCUCUCAGAUCUGGUGGAGUGUGCUGGAGGGCAAAUGAUUCACAUGUCAAGCUAACCGUGUCCUAAAUGUAGGGAUAUAGUCCUGGUGAUGCAGCAGCAGCCCAGUCUGUCCGGCCGGAAGGACAUGAUGAUGUUGCGUGCUUGUAGUCGUGUGUCAUCUCUUGUAUAUAAAUUGAUGUCACAUUUUUGCCUAAAUGGAUGUAAUAGAUUUAA